AUGUAUGUAUGAUAGUAUGAAUGAAUGAAUGAAUGGAAUGAUAGUAUCAAUUAAUCAAUUUAUGUAUGAUAGUAUGAAUUAAUGCAUGUAUGUAUGAUGGAUUAAAUUUAUGAUAGUGUGAACACAUGAUAAUAUGAACAAAUGAAUGAAUGUAUGUAUGAUAGUAUGAAUUAAUGUGUGUAUGAUAUUAAUGUAUGAAAGAAUGUAUGUAUGUAUGAAUCAAUGUAUGUAUGAUGGAUUGUAUGUAUGAUAAUUUGUAUGAUAGUAUGUAUGUAUGAUUGAAUGAAUGUUUGUAUGAUAGUAUGACUGAAUGUAUGUAUGUAUGAUAGUAUGAAUGAUAGUAUGUAUUAUGGUAUGUAUGUAUGAGAGUAUGCAUGUAUGGGAGUAUGUAUGUAUGAUAGUAUGUAUGUAUGAGAGUAUGUAUGAUAGUAUGUAUGUAUGAUAGUAUAUAUGUAUGAUAGUAUGUAUGUAUGAUAGUAUGUAUGUAUGAGAGUAUGUAUGAUAGUAUGUAUGUAUGAGAGUAUGUAUGAUAGUAUAUAUGUAUGAUAGUAUGUAUGUGUGGAGAGACGUAGACAACGAGCUGAUAGUGGGCUAGGAAUAACGGCUGUCCUACCCAAGAUGGAGGCCAGGAGGCGGAGCAUGCAGUAGAGAGGAGAGGCGUGACACGCCAGGAGGCGGAGCAUGCAGUAGAGAGGAGAGGCGUGACACACUCGGAGCGAUGCUGCAGCAAGAAUAAAAGGGGUGAAGGAGGCAGGAGUAGUAGGAGACAACCAGACGGAGGAACAGACGAGCGAGAACCACAGAGAGCCACAGAGCGACCGAGACGAGCACAUUCCAAUCACCCAGCGCUAGCAGAGAAGGAGGCACUGAAAAAAGCGACCGACUUACUGCCAACGACGUAUAUUUGAAAAAAUAAAGAGUCAAACC